rnacentral:tRNA from 1 species
AGCAAAGUCAGCUAAAUAAGCUCUUGGGCCCAUACCCCAAAUAUGUUGGUUAAAAUCCUUCCUUUGCUA